rnacentral:rRNA from 1 species
UACGAAGGGGGCUAGCGUUGUUCGGAUUUACUGGGCGUAAAGCGCACGUAGGCGGAUCGUUAAGUCGGGGGUGAAAUCCUGGAGCUCAACUCCAGAACUGCCUUCGAUACUGGCGAUCUUGAGUCCGGAAGAGGUGAGUGGAACUCCUAGUGUAGAGGUGGAAUUCGUAGAUAUUAGGAAGAACACCAGUGGCGAAGGCGGCUCACUGGUCCGGUACUGACGCUGAGGUGCGAAAGCGUGGGAGCAACAGGG